rnacentral:rRNA from 1 species
UAGGGAAUCUUCCACAAUGGACGAAAGUCUGAUGGAGCAACGCCACGUGAGUGAAGAAGGGUUUCGGCUCGUAAAACUCUGUUGUUAAAGAAGAACAUAUCUGAGAGUAACUGUUCAGGCAUUGACGGUAUUUAACCAGAAAGCCACGGCUAACUACGUGCCAG